AAAGGGGUAGCGACUCGGUCCAUAUAAGACCAGAACAUCUUCUGCCAGAUAUCUCUACGAUUUGUCACAAGGAAAACCUUUGUGUAAUUAAUUCUCCGAAAAAAGACUUUUCUUUAAGUUACUAAAAUUUAUUAAUUUUUAUAGUAUAGUUUAAAUUUUUUUUUAUAUCACAGUUACAAAAGCUUUGAUAGUGAAAAUUAAUUUGAGAAAAUAGAAAAAUAUAUCGGAAUAAUAUUUCUUUCACUUUACGUAUCUUUUAUUUGUUAACAAUGUAUUAUUAAAAGAUGCACAUUGGACUUGGUCAUGCAUUUUUAAUUCGUCUCGCAUGAUUGAUAAUUGUUUAUAUACCCAUAGAUAAUCGUCAGUCAUAAAUGGCACACGAUCUUUGAGAGCACAUUGAGGAAGCUAUAAACGGUAGAAAAUUGCAUUGUGAGAGUCAUAACUGUCUUCGAGCAAUACGAAAGAUCGAGGUCUCGUAAGAUAGAAUUCAGGAUGUAUAUCUAUGGAAAACCGUCACACCUUAAUACAUAAUUGAUACUCACGAUACAGAUUCCCACAACAUGCAUCCUUGAUACAGCGUUCCCAGGACCUCGACGGACAGUAUAGCCGGAAGAAACGUUGUAACUUUAUGUCAUCUCGCACAUUUGCGUCAUCUUCGGGUCAGCGGAUUGGAAGAAUACCAAGGGAACGUCAUUGAGCACGUUUCCCUCUUUCAUCGCUGGCGAAUCGAAAACUGUGCUUAGGUUGCUUUUAUAUCCUAUCACUUCUUCCUACUUUUAAAAACGUCGUGCUGGUAGGACAGAGCCGUCGAGAGCGGCGACAAGAUUCGCUCUCGUGAUUGUCCGAGGCGCGUGGGAGUGUACCUCAUUCGCGUCCCUUCGGAACAAAGACAUAAAGAGAGUGACUGGUCUUUUGACCAGAGCCUUUCCUUACGUCAGACAGUACGUGAAUUAUUUUACGCGAACAUUUUUAUGGAUAAUUCCAAAGUUGAAAAAAAUCAUGAUUAAUUAUUUGUAGACACAUGGCUUUUAUAUAUUUCCAUUAAAUAAAAUCGACUUAUAAUUUAAAAAAAGAACUGAGCUUUUUAACGCUCAUGGCAUUACUAAUAAUAAUCUUUUUAUCUACAAUUUCAAUCGGACUAUGAUAGAAGUGAGAUAUCAAGUAAGAUAUUAACAUAAAAAAUCAAGAAAUCUUGAAAAGAAUGACUUUGAAUAAAUUUGCGAAAAAGAGAAAUCGAUUAAAAAUGUUUAUCGAUAAAGUGAAUUGUCCGCGAUAUCGAGAUCAUCUGUCAUGCCCGCGGAAUACACGACGGACG